UCCCCGAUGGCUCAACGGCAGAGCAUCCGACUGUUAAUCGGCAGGUUGCUGGUUCGAAUCCAGCUCGGGGAG
rnacentral:tRNA from 1 species